GAUGAACGCUGGCGGCGUGCCUAAUACAUGCAAGUCGAGCGAACGGACGAGAAGCUUGCUUCUCUGAUGUUAGCGGCGGACGGGUGAGUAACACGUGGAUAACCUACCUAUAAGACUGGGAUAACUUCGGGAAACCGGAGCUAAUACCGGAUAAUAUUUUGAACCGCAUGGUUCAAAAGUGAAAGACGGUCUUGCUGUCACUUAUAGAUGGAUCCGCGCUGCAUUAGCUAGUUGGUAAGGUAACGGCUUACCAAGGCAACGAUGCAUAGCCGACCUGAGAGGGUGAUCGGCCACACUGGAACUGAGACACGGUCCAGACUCCUACGGGAGGCGGCAGUAGGGAAUCUUCCGCAAUGGGCGAAAGCCUGACGGAGCAACGCCGAGUGAGUGAUGAAGGUCUUCGGAUCGUAAAACUCUGUUAUUAGGGAAGAACAUAUGUGUAAGUAACUGUGCACAUCUUGACGGUACCUAAUCAGAAAGCCACGGCUAACUACGUG
rnacentral:rRNA from 1 species